rnacentral:rRNA from 1 species
CACACCUGUUCCCAUACCGAACACAGAAGUUAAGCAUCUCAACGCCGAUGGUACUUGGGUGGUAACGCCCUGGGAGAGUAGGAAGUUGCCAGGC